AUUGAACGCUGGCGGCGGGCCUAACACAUGCAAGUCGAGCGGAUGAAGGGAGCUUGCUCCUGGAUUCAGCGGCGGACGGGUGAGUAAUGCCUAGGAAUCUGCCUGGCAGUGGGGGAUAAUGUCCGGAAACGGGCGCUAAUACCGCAUACGUCCUGAGGGAGAAAGUGGGGGAUCUUUGGACCUCACGCUAUCAGAUGAGCCUAGGUCGGAUUAGCUAGUUGGUGGGGUAAAGGCCUACCAAGGCGACGAUCCGUAACUGGUCUGAGAGGAUGAUCAGUCACACUGGAACGGAGACACGGUCCAGACGCCUACGGGAGGCAGCAGUGGGGAAUAGUGGGCAAUGGGCGAAAGCCUGAUCCAGCCAUGCCGCGUGUGUGAAGAAGGUCUUCGGAUUGUAAAGCACUUUAAGUUGGGAGGAAGGGCAGUAAGUUAAUACCUUGCUGUUUUGACGUUACCAACAGAAUAAGCACCGGCUAACUACGUG
rnacentral:rRNA from 1 species